ACCUUCGGGAGGGCGCUUACCACUUUGUGAUUCAUGACUGGGGUGAAGUCGUAACAAGGUAACCCUAGGGGAACCUGGGGUUGGAUCACCUCCUUACCU
rnacentral:rRNA from 1 species